CGGAGGUUCUGCGGCGGAGGGCUGCCGACCUCUCCCCACGCGCCAGUGACAUCAUAGAAUCAUGGAGCCCUUGAGUUAGAGAGACCAGAGAGCCAGUCCAACCCAGUCCAUCACCUGGAGGCUGGAGAACCACGAGGCUGUUGCCUGUUCGUCCCCCUCUUCUGAGAGGUCCAGACCAUGAACAAUUGGUAUACUUCCUUCUUAUGAAAUCCCUCUCUAUAGCCCUGAGCUCAAGGCUUCACUGUGGAAUUCUACCAAACAUUUAACAAAGAACUAACACCAAUCUUUCUCAAACCUUUCAAAAAUUGAAGAGGGAACACUUACUAGUCAUUCUAUGGAGCUGGCAUUACCCUGAUACCAAAGCCACUACAAAAAAAGAAAGCUAUAGACCAAUAUCCUUUAUGAAUAUUGAUGCACAAGUCUUCAACAAAGUACUAGGAUACCAAAUUCAGCAACAUAUUAAAAGGAUUACACACCAUGACCAAGUGGGACUUAUUCCUGGAAUGCAAAGAUAGUUUAGUACACAAAAACCAACCAACGUAAAACAUCACAUUAACAGAAUGAAGGUUAAAAAUAAACAUAUUAUCAUCUCUACUGAUGCAGAAAAAGCACUUGACAAAAUUUAACACACUUUCAUGCUAAAACCACUCAACAAAUGAGAAAUAGAAGUAAACUACCUCAACAUAAUAAAAGCCAUAUGUGAGAAUCCUACAACUAUCAUCAUAUUCAAUGGUCACCUGCUCUGGGAGAAGCCAGUUGCCAUGUUGUAAGGACACUCAAGCAGCCCAUGGAAUGACUCACAUGCUGAAGAACUGAGCCCUCCCUCCUUCCAACAGCCAGGGAGGAACUAGGGCUUCUUGCCAAUAACCAUGUGAAGAAGCUUGGAAAUGGAUUCUCCCCCAAAUGAGUCUUCAGAUUACUUUAGACUAACAUCUUGACUGCAACCUCUAGAAAGACCCUGAGCCAGGAUCACCAAGCUCACAGAAGCUAAGAGUUAAUAAAUGUUUGAAUUAAGCUGCUAAGUUUUGGAGUCACUUGUUAUGCAGCAAUAGGACAAAAGAUGACGCUAAAACUCCUGUUAUAAAACGAACAUACCAGCCUUU
rnacentral:lncRNA from 1 species